rnacentral:rRNA from 1 species
AACGAACGCUGGCGGCAUGCCUAACACAUGCAAGUCGAACGAGACCUUCGGGUCUAGUGGCGCACAGGUGCGUAACGCGUGGGAACCUGCCCUUAGGUUCGGAAUAACUCCCCGAAAGGGGUGCUAAUACCGGAUAAUGUCUUCGGACCAAAGAUUUAUCGCCUUUGGAUGGGCCCGCGUUGGAUUAGCUAGUUGGUAGGGUAAAAGCCUACCAAGGCGACGAUCCAUAGCUGGUCUGAGAGGAUGAUCAGCCACACUGGGACUGAGACACGGCCCAGACUCCUACGGGAGGCAGCAGUGGGGAAUAUUGGACAAUGGGCGAAAGCCUGAUCCAGCAAUGCCGCGUGAGUGAUGAAGGCCUUAGGGUUGUAAAGCUCUUCUACCCGGGAUGAUAAUGACAGUACCGGGAGAAUAAGCUCCGGCUAACUCCGUG